GUGGCUUAAUUUGACUCAACGCGGGAAAUCUUACCGGGUCCGGACACACUGAGGAUUGACAGACAAACACAUUUUAUGUGUUAUAAAGAUGCUAGUUCUUUCAUGAUUAUGUGAUAGGUGGUGCAUGGCCGUUCUUAGUUCGUGGAGUGAUCUGUCUGCUUAAUUGCGUUUCAAUAUAUUAUUACGUAUACGUAUGACCCAUUUCGCAUUAUGCGUUGUGUGUGUCUAGUAUGCUAUCAUUUGAAAGCAACGAACGUGACCGUAUCCUUUUAUUAUGUACGCACGCGUAUAUUUAUUCAUUAAAGGGACCGCUGUUUCUUUCUUUAAACCAGAGGAAGGUUACGGCAAUAACAGGUCUGUGAUGCCCUUCGAUGUUCCGGGCUGCACACGUGCUACAAUGAUUAUUUCAUUAAGUAUCUUAACACUGUGCAUUUUUUGUGCGCUCCCUACCUACCCUGAGAAUGGGCGGGUAAUCAAUUA
rnacentral:rRNA from 1 species